rnacentral:lncRNA from 1 species
GUGUGUAAUUGACAAAGAACUAAGAAGGGAACGAGCUUACCAACAUUUACGUCAUUUAGCAGACGCUCUUAUCCAGAGCGAUUUACAAAUUGGUGCAUUCGGAGCUGUCUCUAUAAAUUCAUCCUACAGAGGUUCACGCAGGGGUAUUAUCAGGGGUACUGCGGGAGCAGACGUGACAGGACACCCCCACCCCCCUCUUAGGGCACCACCCGGCCUCCCACCUGGGCGAACCAGCCGAGACAUGGGCGCUGGGCAAGCCGGUUGGGGCGUGGAAGCGUGGAAGGAGCGUGAUGAGGGAUGGGAAGCCGCGGAGCCUACCAAGGCAAGGAAACCUCUCGAGCCAGCCAGAGCGUGGAAGCCCGACAGGCUGGCUAGGCACCCCCGGUUCCAUCGGUGGCGACCCAGAGCCGAUGUCACCACUAACCGGAACGCCAGUACUCCCCGAUGCUUCGUAUGUUGGCUUCUGCAUUCUGUCACAUGGAAUGACGCUGGAGAGACGAAGCAGGUAACCAUCUCCAACCAGGCCAGACAAGGAUUGGUCACAGACAAACCAGCUGUCACUACUCAGGUGGCCUGUGGUAGCUGUGCUACUGUCUCUCCUCUCUCUUUGUGUUUCCAGGCAAGUGUUUCCAGGCAUUGGUUCAUGUGAGAGUGCCAGCAGCUCCAUCAGACACAGUCACAGCAAGAUAGCCGAGUCACACGUUAUUUACACCAUUGUACCCCAGAACUCUGUAUUAAAACAUUUACUUCUACCGGAUCCUUCAAGUCAAGUCUCCUCUUUUACCUUUUCAAAGUCAUCUUGCUACAGUACUACAAAAUAACACACUUACACACUCAACUGGCAUUUGAAGGGAUACUGGUGUCAGAUUCCAAACCGACUGCCGCUGUGCCCUUGAACAAGGCAAUAAUCCUGUUGGGUUGUGUCUAGAAAGCCAAAGAAAAAACGAAAUACGAGUGCAUAGAAAAUGACAAUGGUUGUAAACAAACCACAAACCAGAAGUUUCAUAUUGAGAACCUAAAGAACACAUUAAUGCUAUUAUACAUUGCUGGGUUUUAUUCUACUGGUGUUUGGUUUCCUUUCAUCUUCAUAGAUAAGAACUACACAUUCAUUUCAAUGCCUUAAUUAGAAAACAAAUAGACAUAGCUGUCACGUCCUGACCAGUAAAAGGGGUUGUUUGUCAUUAUAGUAUGGUCAGGGCAGGGGUUGUUUGUUUUGUGUGUUUUGAUGUUUUGGGGUUUUGUUCUGUUUUAUAUUUCUAUGUUUAUUCUAGGUUGUCUAUUUCUAUGUUGGAAUUGUUUGGGGUUGGUCUCUAAUUGGAGGCAGCUGAAUCUCAUUGCCUCUGAUUAGAGACCAUAUUUAAGUAGGGGUUUUU